AGUGAACGCUGGCGGUAGGCCUAACACAUGCAAGUCGAACGGCAGCACAGUAAGAGCUUGCUCUUACGGGUGGCGAGUGGCGGACGGGUGAGGAAUACAUCGGAAUCUACUUUUUCGUGGGGGAUAACGUAGGGAAACUUACGCUAAUACCGCAUACGACCUACGGGUGAAAGCAGGGGAUCUUCGGACCUUGCGCGAUUGAAUGAGCCGAUGUCGGAUUAGCUAGUUGGCGGGGUAAAGGCCCACCAAGGCGACGAUCCGUAGCUGGUCUGAGAGGAUGAUCAGCCACACUGGAACUGAGACACGGUCCAGACUCCUACGGGAGGCAGCAGUGGGGAAUAUUGGACAAUGGGCGCAAGCCUGAUCCAGCCAUACCGCGUGGGUGAAGAAGGCCUUCGGGUUGUAAAGCCCUUUUGUUGGGAAGGAAAAGCAGCAGGUGAAUACCCCGCUGUUCUGACGGUACCCAAAGAAUAAGCACCGGCUAACUUCGUG
rnacentral:rRNA from 1 species